rnacentral:tRNA from 1 species
GCCACCGUAGCUCAAUUGGUAGAGCAUCGGGUUUCACAACUCGGAGAUGCAGGUUCGAAUCCUGUCGGUGGAA